rnacentral:rRNA from 1 species
GACGAACGCUGGCGGCGUGCCUAAUACAUGCAAGUCGAACGCAGUGGGUACGGGUGAGUAACACGUGGGUAACCUCCCAUCAGAGGGGAUAACACUUGGAAACAGGUGCUAAACCGAUACUGAUGGAUGGACCCGCGGUGCAUUAGCUAGUGGGUGCGGGAACGGCUCACCAAGGCAACGAUGCAUCGCCAACCUGAGAGGGUGACCGGCCACACUGGGACGGAGACACGGCCCAGACGCCGACGGGAGGCAGCAGUAGGGAAUCUUCGGAAAUGGACGAAAGUCUGACCGAGCAACGCCGCGUGAGUGAAGAAGGUUUUCGGAUCGUAAAACUCUGUUGUUAGAGAAGCGGUAUCUAACCAGAAAGCCACGGCUAACUACGUGCCAGCAGCCGCGGUAAUUC